rnacentral:lncRNA from 1 species
AACCACAUGUAGCAUGCAACGUCAUGACUCAUUAUUUAUAGUGGGGAGGCUAGAUGUACAUGAGUUGUUAAUCGCAAUAGUCAACCACAUGAAACAUCGUGACUUCUAGCACAGGAGGGUUCUCGAUCAGCUCAUACACGGAUAUACCAUCAAAACAUGCAAUAUCAAACUGCUAAAUAAUAUUCUCUUACACACACCAUCAAGUAAAAGGUUCAAUUAUAACAAAGAUCAUUUAAAUGUAUUGGAGCAAAACUUAAUACUUGGAAAAGAAAAGAUCAAAAACAACAUGUCUCAAGCAAAGAUUUCCUCACACAAUAAACAGGGAUGGGAAAACGGUAAAAGUCAUUUGCAUGAUAGAAAAUCUAAAGUCUAGGACAGAUAUAAAAAGGCUAGAGCAAGGAUCUAAGAAAAUGAAAAUCAUAAUUUAAUCUUCAUCCUCCUCAUCACCAUCACCACCGGAAGCCUUCUUGGCUGCAGCCUUAAGGUUCUUACGCUUCACACGACCAGGAAGACCACCACCGAAUGGACUUGUGAGUGAAAAGUCAAUGUGCUUCUGUGAAUCAACCCUUACCAUGAAGGAUGGGAUGUUCACAACCUGCCUCCCAACCCUAUGAAACCAAAAAAUAACAUUAUCAUCCAUGCCCAGACAUAUUUGAACAAGACUAAAUAGAAAGAGGGAAAAAAAAAAAACAUCAGGUACCCAUAAGCACAUUCUCUCUAUUUCUCUUCAUUUCAUUCACACCAACUAGUUUUAGGUGUAAAAAUGAUAUAAAAUUACACAUUUAAAAAAUUAGUGACAUUUGAGUAUUUUAAUUAAUCAGAAAAACCAUAGUUGAGGAGCCCUCCAUUACUUGAACAAUGCAGUCAUACAAAGAAUAUAUUGAUAAAAUUUAAGCUACGCGGGAAAUGCAGUACCAUUAGAUAUCAGAACAUCAAAAGUUAAAAGUUAAAAGCAGAUAUGGGGUAAGAGCCACAAAACAUGUAUUGAAUCAAAGGGAACAAGCAAAGACUUGUUAAGCCCCUAUGCUCCUACUAGAUAAGAUUACCUGUUUUUCCAUCAAUAGACGAAUACAAACAAUAAAUCACUAGACAUUGCUAGUUAAUAAAUUAAUAUGUGCACAACAAACACAACAUUGGUAGAGACAAUCAAUGAUCUAAACAUAAACUAUAUCAUACAAAAACAUUAAGUAACACACAAGCAGAAGAAUAAGCUAAUCUUUUCAGAAAACACUAGCACGUGAGAGUGUUUUUCAAAAUGAUACAGGUUCUGCUUGAGCUUAUCUAUUGGCAUAAGUUUUAUGACUAUUUAUUAAAACAGCUUAUUUUCACACGAUCUUCACUACAGCUUAAGAAGACAGCUUAUGCAAGCUUGUAUAUAAACUGAAAAUGACAAAUCUAAAAUAUUCUUUCAAAUAAAUUACCAGAUGAGCAUAGACAUAAAAAAAUCAACAAGACAGAUUAACUUCGAUAAAAAAUAUAAUCAGAUUAAUUCAAUAUUAACAUAAAAAAAUGAAUAUACCUGAUGUGCCUCUGCCUGAUUAGAACCCUAGCAUGGUGAAUAGACUUAGCCAUGCCAGAUUUGAACACAAGAGUCUGAAGACGACGUUCAAGAAAAUUCUCAACAGUGAGAGCCAACACAUAAUCGAGCUUGUUCUGUGUUUCAUCAAGAAGACCAUGUUUGAACAUUCUCC